GUCCACGCCGUAAACUAUGAGAGCUAGCAGUCGGCAAGUACACUUGUCGGUGGCGCAGCUAACGCAUUAAGCUCUCCGCCUGGGGGAGUACGGUCGCAAGAUUAAAACUCAAAGGAAUUGACGGGGGCCCCGCACAAGCGGUGGAGCAUGUGGUUUAAUUAGAAGCAACGCGCAGAACCUUACCAGCCCUUGACAUGUCACGUAUGGUUACCAGAGAUGGUUUCCUUCAGUUCGGCUGGCGUGAACACAGGUGCUGCAUGGCUGUCGU
rnacentral:rRNA from 1 species